rnacentral:miRNA from 1 species
UUUGUAUUAUGAGCGGAAAUUGUUACCAUUUUCGGCUCAAAAAUGGUAACAAUUUCCGCACGUAAUACAAA